rnacentral:rRNA from 1 species
GACGAACGCUGGCGGCGUGCUUAACACAUGCAAGUCGAACGGAAAGGCCUCUUUCGGGGGGUACUCGAGUGGCGAACGGGUGAGUAACACGUGAGUAACCUGCCCUUGACUUUGGGAUAACUUCAGAAAACUGGGGCUAAUACCGGAUAGGAGCUCCUGCUGCAUGGUGGGGGUUGGAAAGUUUCGGCGGUUGGGGAUGGACUCGCGGCUUAUCAGCUUGUUGGUGGGGUAGUGGCUUACCAAGGCUUUGACGGGUAGCCGGCCUGAGAGGGUGACCGGCCACAUUGGGACUGAGAUACGGCCCAGACUCCUACGGGAGGCAGCAGUGGGGAAUAUUGCACAAGGGGUGGAAGCCUGAUGCAGCAACGCCGUGUGCGGGAUGACGGCCUUCGGGUUGUAAACCGCUUUCGCUCAUGACGAAGCUUUGUGUGACGGUAGUGGGUAAAGAAGCACCGGCUAACUACGUG